rnacentral:rRNA from 1 species
GGCGAACGCUGGCGGCGUGCCUAACACAUGCAAGUCGAGCGAUAAAGCUUGGUGCUUGUACCAAUUUGAAGAGCAGCGAACGGGUGAGUAACGCGUGGAGCAUCUUCCUCUGAUCGGGGGACGAUAUCGGGAAACGAAUGAUACUACCGCAUAAUACCUUUUAACAUAAGAUUCAAGUUUGAUACAUGCCUUUGCAUCUCUCAAAGACCAUCCCGCGAUGUAUUAGCUAGCUGGUGAGGUAAAGGCUCACCAAGGCGAUGAUACAUAGCCGACCUGAGAGGGUGAUCGGCCACAAUGGGACUGAGACACGGCCCAAACUCCUACGGGAGGCAGCAGUAGGGAAUCUUCGGCAAAGGACGAAAGGCUGACCGAGCAACGCCGCGUGAGGGAAGAAGGGUCUCGGAUCGUAAAACUCUGUUGGUAGAGAAGAACGUUGGUGAGAGUGGAAAGCUCAUCAAGUGACGGUAACUACCCAGAAAGGGACGGCUAACUACGUG